rnacentral:rRNA from 1 species
GGGCCCGCACAAGCGGUGGAGUAUGUGGUUUAAUUCGAUGCAACGCGAAGAACCUUACCAGGGUUUGACAUCCUGCGAAUCUCUUGGAAACAGGAGUAGUGCCUUCGGGAAACGCAGUGACAGGUGGUGCAUGGCUGUCGUCAGCUCGUGUCGUGAGAUGUUGGGUUAAGUCCCGCAAACCGAGCGCAACCCACGUCUUUAGUUGCCAGCAUUCAGUUGGGCACUCUAGAGAGACUGCCGGUGAUAAACCGGAGGAAGGUGUGGAUGACGUCAAGUCAUCAUGCCCCUUACAUCCUGGGCUACACACGGUACUACAAAUGCUACGGACAAAGGGCUGCAAGUUCGCGAGGACAAAGCAAAAUCCCAUAAAACCGUGGCUCAGUUCAGAUCGUAGGCUGCAACUCGCCUACGUGAAGGCGGAAAUCGCUAGUAAAUCG